rnacentral:rRNA from 1 species
UGUGNAUUGCAGAAUUCAGUGAAUCAUCGAAUCUUUGAACGCACCUUGCGCCCUUUGGUAUUCCGAAGGCACACCUGUUUGAGUGUCGUGA